rnacentral:rRNA from 1 species
CUACGGGGGGCAGCAGUGAGGAAUAUUGCACAAUGGGGGGAACCCUGAUGCAGCAACGCCGCGUGGAGGAUGACGCAUUUCGGUGUGUAAACUCCUUUUAUAUGUCAAGAAAAUGACGGUAGCAUAUGAAUAAGCACCGGCUAACUCCGUGCCAGCAGCCGCGGUAAUACGGAGGGUGCAAGCGUUACUCGGAAUCACUGGGCGUAAAGGACGCGUAGGCGGGUUGGAAAGUCAGUUGCGAAAUCCUACAGCUUAACUGUAGAACUGCACUUGAAACUUCUAAUCUAGAGUAUGGGAGGGGGAGAUGGAAUUAGUGGUGUAGGGGUAAAAUCCGUAGAUAUCACUAGGAAUACCUAAAGCGAAGGCGAUCUCCUGGAACAUUACUGACGCUAAGGCGUGAAAGCGUGGGGAGCAAACAGGAUUAGAUACCCUUGUAGUC